rnacentral:rRNA from 1 species
GUGAGGAAUAUUGGACAAUGGGCGCAAGCCUGAUCCAGCCAUGCCGCGUGCAGGAAGACGCAUCUAUGGUGUGUAAACUGCUUUUGUACGGGAAGAAACACUCCCUCGUGAGGGAGCUUGACGGUACCGUAAGAAUAAGGAUCGGCUAACUCCGUGCCAGCAGCCGCGGUAAUACGGAGGAUCCAAGCGUUAUCAGGAAUCAUUGGGUUUAAAGGGUCCGUAGGCGGUUGAAUAAGUCAGUGGUGAAAGCCCAUCGCUCAACGAUGGAACGGCCAUUGAUACUGUUAGACUUGAAUUACAAGGAAGUAACUAGAAUAUGUAGUGUAGCGGUGAAAUGCUUAGAUAUUACAUGGAAUACCAAUUGCGAAGGCAGGUUACUACUUGUGGAUUGACGCUGAUGGACGAAAGCGUGGGGAGCGAACAGGAUUAGAUACCCCGGUAGUCC